UACGUAGGGUGCAAGCGUUGUCCGGAAUUAUUGGGCGUAAAGAGCUCGUAGGCGGUUCGUCGCGUCGGCUGUGAAAUCCCGAGGCUCAACCUCGGGUCUGCAGUCGAUACGGGCGGACUGGAGUUCGGCAGGGGAGACUGGAAUUCCUGGUGUAGCGGUGAAAUGCGCAGGAUAUCAGGAGGAACACCGGUGCGAAGGCGGGUCUCUGGGCCGAUACUGACGCUGAGGAGCGAAAGCGUGGGGAGCGAACAGG
rnacentral:rRNA from 1 species